rnacentral:rRNA from 1 species
UGCCAGUGAUAAACUGGAGGAAGGUGGGGAUGACGUCAAGUCAUCAUGGCCCUUACGACCAGGGCUACACACGUGCUACAAUGGCAUAUACAAAGAGAAGCGACCUCGCGAGAGCAAGCGGACCUCAUAAAGUAUGUCGUAGUCCGGAUUGGAGUCUGCAACUCGACUCCAUGAAGUCGGAAUCGCUAGUAAUCGUAGAUCAGAAUGCUACGGUGAAUACGUUCCCGGGCCUUGUACACACCGCCCGUCACACCAUGGGAGUGGGUUGCAAAAGAAGUAGGUAGCUUAACCUUCGGGAGGGCGCUUACCAC